rnacentral:lncRNA from 1 species
AAAUUUUACUUUUGCGCCACCUAAGAUUACAUGCCUUUUUUUAUUUAUUGAUGUUUACAUUUUGUUUUAGGGAUUUUUGUAGACUUGUCACAUGAACAUAUACAUCAGUUUCAAUUUAUCACCUAAAGAAUUAUGCUCCUAAAACAAAAGAGUAUCUCCAACAGUCUCUUCAACAACUUUGGAAUUCUAAAAGAGGAAUGCUAGUAACUUUCUCCCUAACCUUCUCCUUUAGAUCUUCUCCAUUUUUUGUUUGACAUGUGUCAUUAUUCUUGCACUUAAAACAAUGUUAUUAAUAUAUUAUACAAGCUAACUUUUGCUUUCCAAGUUUACCCUUAUUUAAUGUAUUCA